rnacentral:rRNA from 1 species
GGAAUUUUGGACAAUGGGCGCAAGCCUGAUCCAGCAAUGCCGCGUGAGUGAAGAAGGCCUUCGGGUUGUAAAGCUCUUUUGUCAGGGAAGAAACGGUGGAGGCUAAUAUCCUCUGCUAAUGACGGUACCUGAAGAAUAAGCACCGGCUAACUACGUGCCAGCAGCCGCGGUAAUACGUAGGGUGCAAGCGUUAAUCGGAAUUACUGGGCGUAAAGCGUGCGCAGGCGGUUUUGUAAGUCUGAUGUGAAAUCCCCGGGCUCAACCUGGGAAUUGCAUUGGAGACUGCAAGGCUAGAAUCUGGCAGAGGGGGGUAGAAUUCCACGUGUAGCAGUGAAAUGCGUAGAUAUGUGGAGGAACACCGAUGGCGAAGGCAGCCCCCUGGGUCAAGAUUGACGCUCAUGCACGAAAGCGUGGGGAGCAAACAGGAUUAGAUACCCGGG